CGCACAUUGCGCCCCCUGGUAUUCCGGGGGGCAUGCCUGUUCGAGCGUCAUUUCGUCCUUCAAGCCCCGCUUGGUGUUGGGUGCGGCUCCUCACAGGGCCCGCCCGCAACUCCUCGGCGGCAGGCACCGUCCCCGAGCGUAGCAGAAUUUACUCGCUCCGGGUACCGGUCGCCCGCCCGCCGGUGAAAACGAAAUUUCUGAAGUUUGACCUCGGAUCAGGUAGGGAUACCCGCUGAACUUAA
rnacentral:misc_RNA from 1 species